GAUGAACGCUAGCUACAGGCUUAACACAUGCAAGUCGAGGGGCAGCAUGAACAAAGCUUGCUUUGUUUGAUGGCGACCGGCGCACGGGUGCGUAACACGUAUCCAAUCUGCCCGCGGCUCGGGGAUAGCCCAUCGAAAGAUGGAUUAAUACCCCGAUGGUGUGGUCACUCCGCAUGGGGGUUUCCACUAAAGGUUUUCCGGCCGCGGAUGAGGAUGCGUAUGAUUAGGUAGUAGGCGGGGUAAGGCCCACCUAGCCUUCGAUCAUUAGGGGUUCUGAGAGGAAGGUCCCCCANACUGGAACUGAGACACGGUCCAGACUCCUACGGGAGCAGCAGU
rnacentral:rRNA from 1 species